UCAUAAGCUGUUUUUUAUAAGCUCUCUUAAAAUAUCUCACAAGUGAUUAUAUCAAUGAAUAAGUUCAAAUAAGUUGAUUUAAAAACUCUAUCUAGAUUUUGUCUACAAUAGAAUUAUAUGUUUAUAUGUUGUGUCAUAUCAUAUCAUAUAUUAUGUAUGACAAGGUUUACAAUAUUGCUUCUAUCCAGAUACAUGUGCCACACAUUAUUCAAAGUGGCAAGAAAGAGCAGAUCAGUUGUUGCUGUUGUUGGAAAGGGGCAUCUUCAAGGAAUCAAAAAGAACUGGAAGCAACCUAUCAAGAUUGAGGAUCUUGUGACAAUUCCGCCUCCCAAACUGCCUAUACCUGUGACGAGAAUAUUUGCAUAUGUAGGCAUUGUUGUGGCUGGAGUGACCAUAAUAACAAAAACCUAUCUUUAAGUGUAAAAGAAUGAAUUCUCUAUGUAGAUAAAGUUUCAUCUACAAUAUCGCAGAUACUAAUUGAAUUAAUUGAUUUUUGCAUAUUCUCUCUUAUAUCAGCUUUACCAUGU